UCUGCCUAACAGGAUUCACAGUCUUCCAUCCUCCCUAGUGCUUGGACAUUGGGAUUACAGGUGUGUGCAACCACGUCGGGGUCAGGCUCACUUUGACCUUUUGAGUGGACAGGGAUCACAUAUUUGUUUUAUGAAGUACACUGUUGCUUUCUUCAUUGGAUUUCAUGGUUGUGAGCCACUAUGUGGUUGCUGGGAAUUGAACUCAGGACCUCUGGAGGAGCAGCCAGUGCUCUUAUCGGCUGAGCCAUCGUUCCAGCCCCCAGAACACACUAAGAAAGCGCAGCUAGAAAUAGAGUCAGGUGGAGCUGAGCACUCAGGAGCGCUAUGGGAGUUCCUACUCAAAUCUUUAUGUCUCCAGGCACACCCCACCCUUGCCAAGAGCAAUAGUUAGGCAAGAGCUUGCCAGGUAGGCUAGGCUUGCCUAGCCAGCUAGUCCCAAGGGCCUGUCUGCACCUCCCCAAGACAGGGAUUAAAUUUGGACCCUCAUGCUUAUAUUUGGACCCUCUUGCUCUUUACCAACUGUGCCACCUUCCUACCCUGGAGUAAACUUUAAAGGCAGACACAUCAGUAAAGUGCUUCCUGCACAAGCAUGAAAGCCUGAGUUCAGAUCAGCAGCAGCGCAUAAAAGCCAAGUGGAGUAGCACAGGCCUAGAGUCCCACGCUUGUUAUGGAGAUGUCAUGCCAGGAAACGUUCAAGAACUUCAAAAAGACACCAAGGAGCCCAGUCAGAUGCAAUCGCUUUAGGGUCUCUUUAAUCAAGCUUUAGCUUGGGCCACAGGACACACCCCUCCCCCCAGCCCAGUUUCAGGCAAGCAUUUAUAGAGGCAAGAAGGGGGUAUUUAGCCUGGUAUAUAUCAGACUGGGGUCCAUUAUGGCCUUUAACAUAAUUGGCUAGUGUUGGGAGUCAAACCAUAAGCUUAACUUCUGCUUUUCUUCAGAUUGGCGGUUGUUAGGAAGUGAAGUGUCAGGGGCGGGCUUGUAACCUGGAGGUGCAGAUUUGUUGGGGGAAUAACCUGGAAACUGGUGCUAGAUACUGGCCUGUUAGAUAUUGGCCUGUUAGUUAACUUGAGUUCAACCUUGGGUCAGAUUCUCUAAGAUGGAGUCUGAACCCAAAAGAUUUGGUCUCUCAGAGACAGGCCAAACACAAUGAAACAGGUCCCCAAAAAAUGUGUGUGUGUAGAAUAAUAGAGGAAGACACUGGAUAUUGAUCAGGUAAGUAGACCCUACCCCAACACACACAAGCAUACACCACUACACACAAUAAAAUAAGUUGACUAAUGUGCACACGCUCAGACACACUACUCACAUAUGAAGUAUGUGUGUGUGUGUGUAUAGCAAGAUAUAAUUGCAAUGGAAAUUACAUAGGAGGACUGGGCUAGCUCCACUGACCUAACUCCAAUCCUUCCAUGUACUCCUAGUUCGCACUGCCUAUAGUCCUCCUUUUAGGAACCAGAGAAACCAUAGUUCUAUUGCUCAGUCUUGGUCUCCUUGUUGCUGCAGGGAUAGAAUCCUAGGUAAGUUUUUCAGCCUGCAAGAUUUGGCAGGCAGCACCUUUAAUCCCAAUACUCAGGAGGCAGGGACAGGUGGAUCUCUGAGUUCAAGGCCAGCUUGAUCUACAUAGAGAGUUCCAGGACAGCCAAGGCUACACAUAGAUAGACCCUGUCUAAUAUAUGCACUAGCCUCCACUACAUAAGGAAACCAACUAGUGAGGCCUUAGCAAGGCAUCAAGCUUUGGUAAAAAGCCAUUGAUGGAGAGUUUGGGAGGUGACCCACAUCUGUAAUCCAAGCAAACAGAGGCAGAAAAGUCAAGGAGUUCAAGGUCAUCCUAUGCUACAGAGACCAUUCAAGCUGAGGCCUGACUAUGUAGCAGACUGUCUCAAAACAAAGGAACAAGACUCAAAAAUAAAAAGUAAUUCUAUUUUGCAUAAUAAUGCCUUCACUGUCUCAGAAAACAUUUUGGGAUACUUACCCUAAAAAUAAUAUUCAUUGUUUAUCUGGAAUUCAAACUUACUUGGGUGUCUGGCAUUCCUCUGACAAUCCCAUAAUCCUACUGGAACAGAAAGUCAGAUCAGGAAGGGUGGAGAGUGAGAGAUACCAGGCCGAAGUUUAUUUCCUGAAUGGGAGGAAGCCUAAGGGCUGAUGGGGGAGGGGAGGGUCCAGGGAGCCUGACAGGAGUGAGUAAGGAGUGGGAGGCUGGGUCUACACGGUUGUGCUGUGCGCUGCCCACUCCAGAAUCCCUUCCAUAGCUCUGUGACUGCCUAGGCAGCUUUCCUGGAGUUUCCCAGCCCUGUGAGGCUUUGCUGUGUAUCAGCUACCUCACUGAAGGUGCCCUCCUCAGAGGGCUUUCCCACUGGAGACGAGCCUCUUCCCUCUUUUCCAUCACCUGUAGGAGCGGAAGUGCCCUGCAGCUCUUUGCUGGGACAGGAAGACAAUUGUGAACUAUACAAGAGGAGAGGGAAGGUGGGAGUUGGGGGAGGACACAGGUCCUUCCUCCUAUAAAGGAGCCUUGUGGUGUUUUGUUUUGUUUUGUUUUGUUUUUUAAGAUUUAUUUAUUUUAUGUAAGUACACUGUAGCUGUCCUCAGAUACUCCAGAAGAGGGCAUCAGAUUUUGUUACGGAUGGUUGUGAGCCACCAUGUGGUUGUUGGGAUUUGAACUCGGGACCUUCAGAAGAGCAAUCGGCACUCUUAACCACUGAGCCAUCUCGCCAACCCCAGGAGCCUUGUGUUUUAUUCACAAAAAAUACAUUUAAUCCUGGCAGAAGCAGGCAGAUCUCUGAGUCUGAGGUCAGCAUGGUCUGAAGAGCAAGUUCUAAGCAGCUGAGUUACACAGCAAAACCUUGUGGUAGUAGGAGAGGGGUGGAGAAAG
rnacentral:lncRNA from 1 species